rnacentral:rRNA from 1 species
UACAGAGGUCUCAAGCGUUGUUCGGAUUCAUUGGGCGUAAAGGGUGUGUAGGUGGCGCCGUAAGUCGGGUGUGAAAUUUCGGAGCUUAACUCCGAAACUGCAUUCGAUACUGCGGUGCUUGAGGACUGGAGAGGAGACUGGAAUUCGAUGGUGUAGCAGUGAAAAUGCGUAGAGAUCAUGAGGAAGACCAGUGGCGAAGGCGGGUCUCUGGACAGUUCCUGACACUGAGACACGAAGGCCAGGGGAGCAAACGGG